UACGGGGGGGGCAAGCGUUGUUCGGAAUUACUGGGCGUAAAGGGUUCGUAGGUGGCUUGCUCAGUCAGACGUGAAAUCCCUCAGCUUAACUGGGGAACUGCGUCUGAUACUGGCGAGCUUGAGUGCAGGAGAGGAACGCGGAAUUCCAGGUGUAGCGGUGAAAUGCGUAGAUAUCUGGAGGAACACCGGUGGCGAAGGCGGCGUUCUGGACUGCAACUGACGCUGAGAAGCGAAAGCAUGGGGAGCGAACAGG
rnacentral:rRNA from 1 species